ACUCAAAUGAAUAGACGGGGACCCGCACAAGCGGUGGAGCGUGUGGUUUAAUUCGACGAUAAGCGGAGAACCUUACCAGGGUUUGACAUCCCAGUCGCAUUCUUUGGAAACAAAGAAGUCAGUCUGCUGGACUGGUGACAGGUGCUGCAUGGUCGUCGUCAGCUCGUGUCGUGAGAUGUUGGGUUAAGUCCCGCAACGAGCGCAACCCUUGUCGUAUGUUGUAUUUUUCAUACGAGACUGCCUCGGUUAACGAGGAGGAAGGUGGGGAUGACGUCAGAUCAGCAUGGCCCUUAUACCCUGGGCGACACACGCGCUACAAUGGCCGGUACAAUGGGUUGCGAAACCGUAAGGUGAAGCUAAUCCCACCAAAGCCGGUCCCAGUUCGGAUUGGAGGCUGCAACUCGCCUCCAUGAAGCCGGAAUCGCUAGUAAACGCGAAUCAGCCACGUUGCGUUGAAUACGUUCUCGGGUCUUGUACACACCGCCCGU
rnacentral:rRNA from 1 species